UUUUUUUUAUAAAAAAAAGAGAUUCUUCAAGAAAUUUAACAGGCAAGUUUCUCAAUAAACAUUGGUUCAGAUCAGCUUCAGCAUAGCAGCUUCUAUGGCCUCCAGAUAUCAUGGCUGCACGACAAAGCAACCAGAAUGGGGCAAAGUUAGAGUACUCUGCUUUACACUUGAAACAGUAGAAUGCCAGGUCAACAAUUUGAUCUUUGCUUAGACAAUCUUUUGAAUUACACAAGCUGCACGACAGCAGCCACUCGCAAGGUCCCAUUUUGGAGUAGUUCUGCAAGUUCAUCAAAAAGUAAAGCAGUACGCCAGCCCCAUCCCUUGGGAGCUUUUGGUAAAAGAGUACCACGUUGUUUAAAGCUUCCGAAUACCAUAACUUCUCUCUUUGAAGGACAAAUCAGCUGAUAGCGGGCAGUAACCUUCUCACGAGAGUCCACAUAGAUAUGAACCUUUCUAAGGGAGUCAGUAAUCUCUGCCUUGCGUCGGUGAAGAAAUAAUCCAAGAGUUCGGCGUCCUUGAGGAUCUUCAUCAUUAAAGGCCUGAACGCUAACCUUCCACAAAGAACCAGCAUAAAAAUAUUCUGGGGAAUGCUUGAUGACUUGGCCAUCACUGAGCCUAUGCACAUCCUCGAAUUCAACCCCAAAACGAAAUGGAGGGAAAUGGCUUAAAGGCGUUUUCAUAUCUAAAGAUAUAGAGGAACUGUUUGCAUUCUCCCAAUCAAUUCCAAUAGCAUGUUCUGGUGAGUCAAGCAUCUGGACAGCAACACCACUGGUACUUGUUGCUGAAAUGGAUGUUCCUGACAACCUACCUUGCAGUUCUGUCUCAUACCCUCUCUCCAUAUGCUCCCCAUGACCAUUAGUGGUGUUGCUCCCUCCUUGACUUAACCCAACAAGAGCCGUCAACCCAUCUCCUGAUAGGUCUCCAUUGUGAUCAGUUCUACUCUCUGAAUCUUCAUUAGCAAUAGAUUGCUGGCAAUUUCUAUUGCCCAUGCCAAAUGGCACACGGGAGAAGACAAAACGUGUUGGGGGCCAUGCUGCUGUUGGCACAAAUGUAGUUCCACGCCCAAUACCUGCAAGCCCAUCAAUAGGUCCCCUAACAUGCACUCGUACUGGCCUAAAAUGGCCAUUACCUUCACCUUGAGCAGAAUCAGCAACGUAUAUAUUCCCCAUGCUACCAGGAGAAUUAUUAUGAUCAUGGUCUUGCAUGUAGUAACCUGUUGUAUUAACCCCUUGAGAAAACCCAAAUGGUUGCCUGCAAGUGCAUGCCAUACUUGUGAAGCAGCAAACUUUACAUGUGUCAGCACCAAUUUCUUGCACCCUUUGGCUUAAAAGCAUCUGCAGCCAAAGACCAUCGUUCACAGCUUUGCAAGGAAAACCCAAUUCUUCAAGCUGCUUUCUUACAUUUAAAAGUGCCUCAAAAGACAUGUUAGAAUAUAAAAGUGAACCCCCUUCAAAUAUAU
rnacentral:misc_RNA from 1 species